rnacentral:rRNA from 1 species
GAAGGGUGCAAGCGUUAUUCGGAAUAAUUGGGCGUAAAGCGUGCAUAGAUGGUGUGAUAAGUCAAUCGUUAAAUUCCCUCGGCCUAACUGAGGGUCUGCGGUAGAUACUGUCAUGCUAGAGUAUGGAAGAGAGAAGUGGAAUUCUCGGAGUAGCGGUAAAAUGCGUAGAUCUCGAGAGGAACACCGAUGGCGAAGGCAGCUUCUUGGUCCAUUACUGACAUUGAGGUACGAAAGCGUGGGGAGCAAACAGGAUUAGAUACCCUGGUAGUCCACGCUGUAAACGAUGAUCACUAGACGUUAGCUCUGUUUACAGAGUUAGUGUCGAAGCUAACGCGUUAAGUGAUCCGCCUGAGGACUACGGUCGCAAGAUUA